UCCAUCGUGAGAUGGAAUCUGAAGGAAGCUGGAGGCAAAAUUCUGACCCGAGGAACACGAACAUCAUUAGGCGUACUCUCACAGGGUAAGGCUGCUGAACAAGUCAAAGCCCAAAAGCUAUCCGGAUGUGGAAACGUAAAUGGUGCGGGUACAUGGAAUGAAAGUGAAUCAC
rfam:Bacillus coagulans 36D1, complete genome.